UUGAGCUAGGAUCACUGUCCAGAGGGCCCCAGGGAUCCAACUCUGUCUCGCUAGCACAGGACUGCAAGCAUGCCCAGCUUUGGACCUCUGCUGAGGACUGAACUCAGGUCCUCAUUUUUGUGUGGCAAGCACUUUGCAGAUUGAGGUAUCACCCCAACCCAAAUACAUAAGAUUUACUCUAGUAAUUUAAGAAAUAAGAACAUACUUAAAGCAGUACCAUGAUACAGGCUCUUCAAAUUUGGGGAGGACAAAGAGCAGAACUAUUUUUAGAAUGGUAAAAAUGACUUUUGGCUAAUAAAUUUAUAUUGUCUUAAAGGGAGAACAAUGAGAGGGCAUCAGAAGAAAAAAAAUGUUUUCCUGAAGACCCGGAGCAUACUGAACACACAGGUCUGUUCAGUGAUGAUGUUCCCUCAUCAUCACAAGAUGCAGUUUCUGCAGGUUCAAAGCCAUCCUCACUUGCCCCACGACCAGUAUCAGGGCUUUGGACACACGAUACUUCACAGAAUGCAGCUGCUGCAUCCAAGUCAUGUGAAGACAUUGUGAUUGAUGUCCCAGAAGAGCAGGAACCUUCUGAUACAGCCCAAUAUCAAGACUUGGAAGACACAGUUCCUUCACAGGAUACACUUUCUGAGGCCAAGCUAUGUGAAGAUGUCAUUACUGAUAUCCCAGAAAAGCAGAAGGAACCCCCAACCCAUCAAUGGACUCUUAAAGCUACCACAAUCCUCUUUGUGUGUAGGCUCAAGAUCUGAACAGUUCAAAAUGUUGGAAAAAUUCAAAGACAGGCAAAAAACAGAUAUAACUACUAUAUAUAAUAAACAUACAUAUAAUGCCAAUA